rnacentral:rRNA from 1 species
GCCCUUAGAGUUUGAUCAUGGCUCAGGACGAACGCUGGCGGCGUGCUUAACACAUGCAAGUCGAACGAGGGACGAGGUGCUUGCACCUUGUACCCGAGUGGCGGACGGGUGAGUAACACGUGACCAACCUAGCUUCGAGAGGGGGACAACCCGGGGAAACCUGGGCUAAUACCGCGUAGGGCUCUGGUUUCGCAUGGAACUGGAGUGAAAGGGAGCCUCUGCAUGCAAGCUCUCGCUCGAAGGGGGGGUCGCGGCGUAUCAGCUAGUUGGUGGGGUAAUGGCCUACCUAGGCGACGACGCGUAGCGGGUCUGAGAGGACGACCCGUCACAUUGGGACUGAGAUACGGCCCAAACUCCUACGGGAGGCAACAGUGGCGAAUAUUGCGCAAUGGUCGAAAGACUGACGCAUCGACACCGUGUGUGGAAGGAAGCCCCUAGGGGUGUUAACCACUGUCAGAGGGGAACAAC